rnacentral:rRNA from 1 species
UGGGGAAUUUUGCACAAUGGGGGAAACCCUGAUGCAGCGACGCCGCGUGAUUUAGAAGGCCUUCGGGUUGUAAAAAUCUUUUUUAUGGGAUGAAAAUGACAGUACCAUAAGAAUAAGGUCCGGCUAAAUACGUGCCAGCAGCCGCGGUAAUAUGUAUGGACCGAGCGUUGUCCGGAAUCAUUGGGCGUAAAGGGUACGUAGGCGGCCCAGUAAGUUAGUAGUGAAAUAAUAUAGCUCAACUAUAUAAAGCUUUUAAAACUGCUAGGCUUGAGAGAUGGAAGGGAAAGUGGAAUUCCUAGUGUAGCGGUGAAAUGCGCAGAUAUUAGGAAGAAUACCGGUGGCGAAGGCGACUGUCUGGUCAUCAUCUGACGCUGAGGUACGAAAGCGUGGGUAGCAAACAGG